CACGGACAAUAACUGAUCUGAGAAAUACCGGUGAGUCAUCUUCUAGCGGAAACAGACAGAGCUAGCCUCCUACGCUUGUUCUCACACUAAGCGUUGACUACGCUGGAGGGCCUUAGCAGUGAAACAGGCUGCAAGAAAAUUCAAUGUCCUGCCGCCCUGCGAAGGUUGAUGACCGGCACAGCUGUGAACAUUGUAGUAAGAAAACUUAUGUUUUUUUUUUCGUGCCAAAGAGCUUUCAUCUUUUACCAUUGUGCCAAUGGAAUUCCUUCUUACGAAGCAAAUGGACACGGAGAAACUCUGCCUAAAUGCAAACACCAACUCAGGCGAUGCGCAAUCUGUGACAUCGAUGGCCCUGCGCCACGAGGACAAAGGCUAUCUACGCAGGUUAUCAAGUAGAGAACGAUGAUGAUGCGCGUUUGCACAGGGUGGUGCACCACUUGCCUAA